UACGUAGGGGGCAAGCGUUAUCCGGAUUUACUGGGUGUAAAGGGAGCGUAGACGGCAGUGCAAGUCUGGAGUGAAAGGCGGGGGCUCAACCCCCGGACUGCUCUGGAAACUGUACGGCUGGAGUGCAGGAGGGGUAAGUGGAAUUCCUAGUGUAGCGGUGAAAUGCGUAGAUAUUAGGAGGAACACCAGUGGCGAAGGCGGCUUACUGGACUGUAACUGACGUUGAGGCUCGAAAGCGUGGGGAGCAAACAGG
rnacentral:rRNA from 1 species